rnacentral:rRNA from 1 species
ACGCUCGACACCUACGGGAGGCAGCAGUUGGGAAUCUUCCACAAUGGACGCAAGUCUGAUGGAGCAACGCCGCGUGAGUGAAGAAGGUCUUCGGAUCGUAAAACUCUGUUGUUAGAGAAGAACACGAGUGAGAGUAACUGUUCAUUCGAUGACGGUAUCUAACCAGCAAGUCACGGCUAACUACGUGCCAGUAGCCGCGGUAAUCUGAGCGGGCUGGCAAGGC